CCAGAUGCCCUUGGACUUUCCCUCCUUUCCCUGUCACCUGACUGCCGCGCCCAUCUACACACCUGAUCCUCAUCAGCCCUGCAGUCACCUGACCCUCCCUACCCAUCUGCUCAGCUGCAUCCCUGCAUUUGAGGUACUUUUCAUUUGAGAAAUGCCAAUCUGAUGUCUGCAGUGCUUCACGGAGCGUGUGAUACCGGUUGGAUGGCCUGUUGGAUAUGAGUGACAGACACACACCACGCACCUCACACGACCGGCAGUCAUGAGUUCGCCUGAAGAUGCAUAACACGCAUGCAUCAUGACACAGAGGCCAGGCACAGUGUUUGUGACUCAGCAGUGUGUGUGUGUGAUUCAUGCUGCUACUAGUGAUACUGCCCAACAUGUAAUUGAGGUAAUCUGGUUCAUUCAGAGCCUUUCGAGAAUAAACAUUACUCGUCAUUUGUGAAAA